CCCCUGGCAAUCUAAUGGCUAGGAUUCCUAGUUUUCAUCCAGGUUACCCAGGUUCAAUUCUUGGGCAGGGAA
rnacentral:tRNA from 1 species